rnacentral:tRNA from 1 species
GCCUGGGUGGCUCAGUCGGUUGGGCAUCCGACUUCAGCUCAGGUCAUGAUCUCACAGUCUGUGGGUUCAAGCCCUGCGUCAGGCU